UACGUAGGGUGCGAGCGUUGUCCGGAAUUAUUGGGCGUAAAGAGCUCGUAGGCGGUGUGUCACGUCGUUCGUGAAAACCUGCAGCUUAACUGUGGGCGUGCGGUCGAUACGGGCAUCACUGGAGUUCGGCAGGGGAGACUGGAAUUCUUGGUGUAGCGGUGAAAUGCGCAGAUAUCAGGAGGAACACCGGUGGCGAAGGCGGGUCUCUGGGCCGAUACUGACGCUGAGGAGCGAAAGCGUGGGGAGCAAACAGG
rnacentral:rRNA from 1 species